rnacentral:lncRNA from 10 species
GUUUAAAUGUAUCUCUGCAUUAUUUGAGUUUGGAUAUGUUUUAUUUUAAAAGGAAAGAAAUUAUAUUAUCAAAAUAUAUACACAUACAUAAAACAUAUAUUAAAAUAUAUAAAAUACACUAAUAGCCAUUUAUGUUCAUCCAUAUUUACUUUUUCAGGAACAUUAAAAUCUAUAUAAAUUAGAAGAAACCCAGGGCCUAAAGAUGACUAUAAAUAAAAUUUUUAAUGAAAAUUUUACAAGUCUGUAAAAUUUUACAUGUCUUGUAUUACAAAUUCUGUAAUACAAGAACCUGAUAUGCUGAGUAAAUUGUUACUAAAGCAACUUCUGGGUUUUUUUCAAUGACUUCCUUGGAGGGCUGAACUUCCUAAAAGAGGAGAAAGUAAAGGCAAGAGAUAGUGCGCAGUUAAAGGGCAAACCAAUACCAUGCAUUUUACUCCUUAGCAAAAAAGCUGAGGAAGACAGAAAGGGCAGAAAGUGCAGAGAGAAGUCAAGGAGAAGCGAGAGUGCUUUAUCCUCUUCAGUAUUUCACCAGGCCCUCUUCCCCUCACAAACUGGGACGAACUCAACUCUCUGCUUUCUCUAGCCUUGGUCCUGGGUUGCCCGGUCUUGUAAUAGAAAAUCUGGCAGUCGUAAGGGUUGAGUAACCCUUAUCCAAAAUACUUGGACCAGAAGUGUUUCAGACUUUUGUGGAUUUUGCAAUAUUUGCAUAUACACAAUGAGAUAUCUUAGGGAUGGGACCCAAGUCUAAACAUGAAAUUUAUCUGUGUUUCAGCCAGGCAUGGUGGCUCACGCCUGUAAUCCCAGCAUUUUGGGAGGCUGAGGCAGAUGGAUCACUUGAGGUCAGGAGUUCGAUCGAGAUCAGCCUGGCCAACAUGGCAAAACCCCGUCUCUACUAAAAAUACAAAAAAAUUAGCUGGGCAUGGUGGCACGUGCCUAUAAUCGCAGCUACUCGGGAGGCUGAGGCAGGAGAAUCACUUGAACCCAGGGGGUGGAGGUUGCAGUGAGCCGAGGUGGAGCCACUGCACUCCAGCCUGGGAGACAGAACAAGACUGUCUCAAAUUAAAAAAAAAAAAAAAAAUUAUCUGUGUUUCAUAUACACCUUAUACACAUAGCCUGAAGGUAAUUUUAUACAAUUUUUUAAAACAAUUUUGUGCCUGAAAUAAAGUUUAUAUACAUUGAACCCUCAGAAAGCAAGUGUCAGGUGUGGAAUUUUCCACUUGUGGUGUCAUGUCUGUACUUAGAAAGUUCUGGAUUCUGGAGCAUUUCAGAUAUUGGAUUUUUGGAUUAAGGAUGCUCAACCUGCAUUUUAAAAUAGCAUUUUCGGCCAGGCGUGGUAGCUCACGUCCGUAAUCCCAGCACUUUGGGAGGCCGAGGCGGGUGGGAUCACCUGAGGUCAGGAGUUCAAGACCAGCCUAGGCAACAUGGUGAAACCCCGUCUCUACUAAACAAUACAAAAAUUAGCUGGGCAUGGUGGCGAGUGCCUGUAAUCCCAGCUACUCGGGAGGCCAAGGCAUGAGAAUCGCUUGAACCCGGGAGGCGGAGGUUGCAGUAAGCCAAGAUGGCGCCAUUGCACUCCAGCCUGGGCAACAGAGUGAGACUCCAUCUCAAAAAUAAAAUAAAAUAAAAUAGACUCCUAACCUCAGCUGGCCCCUCAAUGCGGUUCAGCAAUCUAUCUCAUAAAUUCUUGGCUUCCUACACUGGCCCAUCCCCUAAAGACUAAAGCUUUUCAACCCUUUGCCAUUAUCCUUCAGCUUUCCACCCAGCCUCUGCAGUCCUUCCAUAUGUGCAGAUGAACCUGCUUCACAGACAAAAUAGCUCCCAACAUUCAAGUACUCCUUUUACCUUCUGUCCCUGGAAAGGGGCCUCAUCCUUAACUGUCUUCCUGUCUCAGAGAAGGGGACUCACUUUCCCUCUCCAGGACUUACCUAACAGCCAUCUCCUGCAGCCCUGGACCCCAGUCCCUUCCCCUUCUCUGGAACCUGCUCCACUAGCCCAUCCUUUCUUUAUCUUCAGGUUCUCUCUGUCCAGUGAUUUUUUUUUUCCCUUAAGUCUAUAAACAUGUUCAACUUACUUUCGCCAUCCAGGCAACCAUCAAAAGCUAUACUCCCACCUCUUUAGUCCCUUUGCUGACCAAAAUGGCAAUUUAUCCAAACCGCUUCACCUAACUCUACUUCCACUAACUUCUCAAUCCAUCACAGCUCAUCUCUUCCAUCUCCUCUCCAAUAGCCCAUGCCUUACUGAACCUACUCUAAUUUAGAUACCAAUGACCUCCUAAAUGCCAAACAAAAAAGCCUGCUUUCUCCUCAGUGGCUGAUAACUUGUAGAAACUCUAUCCUUAACAGUGUUGGAAAUACUUUUUCUCCUCCUUCUCUUCCCAAAACCUCCUGAUUUUUCAAGGACUCUUUUCUGCCUACUUCUUAAAUACCUAAAGGAGCCAUACUUGACACUCUCACUCGACAAGCAUGCUCUGGAGACUACCAUCCAUUUCCAUAUAUGAUACUGCCUACAUUCUGUUGUCCUAAAUUUCUUCCUCUAGCAACAAACUCUCUCAAAAGCACCAAAGUCAUAUUUUCAACUGCCUAGAAGAAACAUCCACCAACAAGCAAUUCAAACUGUAACAGAUCCUAAAUCUUCCCCCUUCCCCCACCUUCCCCCACCAAACCUACUCCUCCUUUCAGGUAAUGGCAUGACUAGGCAUCCAAUCUCCCAAGGUAGAACACUUAGGGUCAUCCUUGAAUUAUCUUUCUUCCUCAAACCCCUAGCCUCUUUUAUCUAUCAUCGAAUCUCAUCCAUUUUUCUUCCUAAUCUCUCUUGAAUGCAGCUACCUCUCUGUCCCCUUUACUAUUAUUAACG